CGGAUUGGAGUCUGNAACCCGACUCCAUGAAGCUGGAUUCGCUAGUAAUCGCGCAUCAGCCACGGCGCGGUGAAUACGUUCCCGGGCCUUGUACACACCGCCCGUCAAGCCAUGGGAGCCGGGAGUGCCUGAAGUACGUGACCGCAAGGAGCGUCCUAGGGUAAGACCGGUGACUGGGGCUAAGUCGUAACAAGGUAAC
rnacentral:rRNA from 1 species